UGUGUGUGUGUGUGUGUGUGUGUGUGUACAAAAAGCAACAAAAGUGUUUAAAAUAAAGGCAGAGCCCCAGGGUCGUUGCCUGAGGUAUCCCUCAUCACAGUGGUGCUGUAGACCAGACUCAAUCCAGGUGCUGUGGUGUUCUGUGUAACUGGGGCUGGAGACCAGACUACAUUCAGGUGCUGUGAUGUUCUGUGUAACUGGGGCUGUAGACCAGACUCAGUCCAGGUGCUGUGGUGUUCUGUGUUACUGGGGCUGGAGACCAGACUCAAUCCAGGUGCUGUGAUGCUCGUGUAACUGGGGCUGUAGACCAGACUCAGUCUAGGUGCUGUGAUGUUCUAUGUAGCAAGAGCAAGGGACUCAAUCCAGCCAACAGAACAUCACUGCACCUGGAAUAAGUCUGCUCCCUGGCCCUAGCUCCCUCCAGCUGCGCUGAUGUUCAGUGUAGCAGGGCCUGUGGACCACAAACUCCUUCUAGGUGGUGAGAUGAUGGGUGCUGCAAGAGAAUGUCCUGGGGCUUUCACCCUGGCUGGAGAUGGAGGAGGUGCUGCAGCCUCCCCGUCCUCAGCACUCCUGCUCAAUCUUUGACAGGAAACAGAAGACAGUAUAGCAUAUUUUAGUGAAUAAUUUCUCAUGCAAAAUGGUGCCAAAUGGCUACCUCAUUAACGGCAAUCAAAAUAUUAUUAUUUAUUUAAAAACGUUAACAAUAAAUUACUAUUAGGUAUGUAAAUUUACACAUUUUUAUAUUUAUAAUUUGGCUAUUCUUUAUUCCAGUGUCAGUUAAAUGAAAUCCCCGCCGAUAGGCUUAGUAGCCCAUAAAUAGUUUUUACUGAAGGUAAUUUAUUCAGGAUAUGUGCUGUGGUGAUCAGUUAUGCUUCGGUUACCCACAUAUGGGUUAAUGUGCAUCCGGCCCGAGUAAACGCGCACGGCAUACUGCAUUUUGCCGAUGCCUAGUUUAUAAUUCAGUUCGGCAACAGAAAGUGAAUGGGGAGGGUCUCCUUUGAAGCUUCCGAGAUCAAGUGCAGGACGACAGUCUACUUUUCAUCCUUUGAGCCUUGGUAAGCCUGCCUUUUGUCCUUGAUCUUUGUCUACAAAAUCAAUAAUGGGGAGCAAAAUCACCCAUGUGGCCAACGCCUCGGGGAUGCCCAUCCGGGUUUACUACAGCACAGAUAAAAUGCGGCUGGAGGAGCUGGUGAUGGAAGUUAAAGUCAGUGGGGAUGGCUCUGUGACUACAGGAGCGAGCCAAUCAAUGAAGAUGAUUUUCAAAGCCGACACCCGUGCCCGCUGCAUACUCAUUCCUGCAGACGAGUACGGCAAAAUUCUAGAAGCAGGGCCCCUUUACGUCAGCGUCUUUUGGGUUUGCUCCCACUGCAAUAGAGAAUUUGUGAAGUCCAUCUCUGAGAAUUUCUGCAUCCCCACCAACAGGUCCUUUAUUGUGACGAAAAAAGGCCACAUAAAGUGGCAGGGAUUAGGGGAAAACAUUUGGCUAGAUGAGGAUGGCAUCAAACACUAAUGAACCUCUCAGGCAUUAAAGUAAAUUGUUUUACCUUUAGGGCUACAAUGUCUUGUCACUGGGGUGUUACCUUCAAGGAUACCGCAUUGUGCAAAAGGCUGCCGCUAAGCAACCAGCGGUCUACAGCUGUGCACCCCACUGUGCGAGCCACACGGGACCUGGGGUCUAUGGGGAGGUCACCCAAUCAAUUGAUCCCAGGGUCCGUGGGGCCCGUGAACAGUGGAAUUUGACUGACCAUUUGGCCACCCCAAGACAGUUUCAAGACAGUUUCAAGGCUUCCCUUCAGUUCAUGCCCUGACAUGCCCUCUCAUUCUCCCUCUCACCUAUAUAAGUCCGACCCUCCUAUGGCCAUUUUGUCGGUCAACCAAAGCUGGAGAGGAGCGUCCAGAAGUACAUCGGACAUUAUCUAGGAUCAAGGACAUUCACGUUUGUUCUUGCCGUGCGUCUUUGAGAAUGUGAGUGUUGUAUAUAUGUGUGUUUAGUGAUUUAGUCUGUUCAUAUCAUUGUAGAUAAUAUAUGUUAGUCAUUUAGUGUAUUAAUCAUUCACUGUCGUGUCAUGUCUCAUUCAUGUUACUGUUAUACCAACGAGUUACUGUUACGGGGCACGGUGUUAAAGGAACAUAUCCAUAUGUAUAUCAUAGCCGUCAUAAUCAUCGUGUGUAUAUACUGUUUUCAUCUUUAUUGUAUGUAAUUGUGAAUAUUUGUAUAUAUUUGUCAUUUGUACCAUUUCAUAGAAACCACGGUUCAAAUACGGAUUCAUGGUUCAAUGUCUAUCCUUUUACACGGAUAAGUAAUUUCAAAUUAAUCUACCACUUCAUGUCUUGCAAGUGUAUGUGUACAAUAAAUACCAUCAUCAUUGGAACUUCACAUUCAUUAUAGUUCUUACCGGACAAUCUGUGCCGAUUGUCACCUAGUCAUUCAGUUAUCAGCAUACAGAUCCUUUUGGGAUUCACACAUCUAAUAUCCCCCUAUUUUAUACACAUUGUACCCUGAGAGACAUUGGAAUUUAAACGUAGCCUUGGAAAUGGAACAAAUAUGUUCUGUUUAAGGGUAUUGCCCUUUUGUACCCUAGGAUGGCAAAUAUAGGCCAAACAUGAAAAAGACUAAAAACAUUAGUAAUAUCUGUAAAACCCAAAUGUACCCAUUAAUAAAUUACAAUGUGAUGGAAUACAUUGAA